rnacentral:rRNA from 1 species
ACGGGUGAGUAAUACGUAGGAAUCUGCCCUAGAGUGGGGGAUAACCUGUCGAAAGACGGGCUAAUACCGCAUAAUCUCUAUGGAGCAAAGGUGGCUAGCAAUAGCCUUCGCUUUAGGAUGAGCCUACGUCGGAUUAGCUAGUUGGUAGGGUAAAGGCCUACCAAGGCAACGAUCCGUAGCUGGUCUGAGAGGACGAUCAGCCACACUGGAACUGAGACACGGUCCAGACUCCUACGGGAGGCAGCAGUGGGGAAUAUUGGACAAUGGGGGAAACCCUGAUCCAGCAAUGCCGCGUGUGCGAUGAAGGCCUGCGGGUUGUAAAGCACUUUCGGUGGGAAAGAAAUACUCAAAGAUAAUACCUUUGAGUGCUGACGUUACCCACAGAAGAAGCACCGGCAAACUCUGUGCCAGCAGCCGCGGUAAUACAGAGGGUGCAAGCGUUAAUCGGAGUUACUGGGCGUAAAGGGCGCGUAGGCGGGCUUUUAAGUCGAUUGUGAAAUCCCUGGGCUUAACCUAGGAAUUGCAGUCGAUACUGAUAGUCUCGAGUAUGGUAGAGGAAAGUAGAAUUCUCGGU